CGGGGGGAGCAAGCGUUGUUCGGAUUUACUGGGCGUAAAGGGCGCGUAGGCGGCCACCGCAAGUCGACUGUGAAAUCUCCGGGCUUAACCCGGAAAGGUCAGCCGAUACUGCGGGGCUAGAGUGCGGAAGGGGCAACUGGAAUUCUCGGUGUAGCGGUGAAAUGCGUAGAUAUCGAGAGGAACACCUGCGGCGAAGGCGGGUUGCUGGGCUGACACUGACGCUGAUGCGCGAAAGCUAGGGGAGCGAACGGGAUUAGAUACCCCGGUAGUCCUAGCCUUAAACGAUGAAUGCUUGGUGUCUGGGGUUUUAUAGACCCCGGGUGCCGUCGCUAACGCUUUAAGCAUUCCGCCUGAGGAGUACGGUCGCAAGACUG
rnacentral:rRNA from 1 species